rnacentral:sRNA from 1 species
AGAAGAUCGGUAGAUUGAGUGGCUAGAGAGGUCGGAGGUAAGUGGCUGUAGAAGUCGGGCGGACCCGGAACCCAGAGGACGCGACACCAUGACUUAUGCUUAUCUCUUCAAGUAUAUCAUCAUCGGAGACACAGGUGUGGGGAAGUCAUGCCUCCUGCUCCAGUUUACAGAUAAGCGGUUCCAGCCUGUCCACGACCUCACAAUAGGUGUGGAGUUUGGAGCUCGUAUGGUCAACAUUGAUGGAAAACAAAUCAAACUGCAAAUCUGGGAUACGGUGAGAGUACAAAAUAAUUUAGUCUCUGACCAAUAUCCAAGUAUAACAAGAAAAGCUGAUGCAAAGGAAAGGGGCGAUGAGGGUGGGACUAAUGGUGGGGAUAAAGUAGGGGAAAGGUGAAAUCAAAGAAGCUUUUGAUUCUGUUACAGUUACAAAUUCUGGAUGCUAUAUCUUUGUGUUGUAAACGAUCCAAGUAAUAGUUUAUUCUAGUAAAAAUAAAAUCAAACAAUAUAAAUUUAUAGAGUAGAAAGUAAAUGUCCCCUUUUUAUACAUAAACUCUUUCUCCCUUCCCAUCUUGGUUGGUACUCUAGCAGGGAAAUCAUUACUGAUGAUUCCAUGUGUA